AGAAGGACAGGAGGAGCAUGUGACCGCAGGGUAGCCUGGCGCGGCAGAGACCAACUGCCGGGCGUGCCAAAUGUGGGGGGAGCGACGGAUUGUUUUAGGUUGGAAGAUGGAAAACCGCACUUCUCCGAGGACAGAAGACCCAAUGUAAUAUUUACAUAAACGAUGUUGCUUGAUUCAUUAUCGAAGCUUUUCUUUUCCGUCUUCCGUCUCCGAUCUGGGCAUCGUGUUCAUUCGCUGCACCCCUGCACUCCUCUGUUGGUAGAGCCGCAAGAGGUCAACUCCUCCCAGGUUGGCGCAGAGGCUUGUGGGAGGCCAACUAGUAAAAAUACCGAGAACUCUCGAGGAGAGCCGACUAUGAAGAUCCCAGGACGUGGGAAGGUUUCCCCCGCCCCCGAGUGCAGAUGUUGCUGCUAACGUUCAGCCCUGACGCCAUGUCCAAUAGGAACGGCCCUUCACUCUCAGAAACGCGGGCCGGAGAAACCGUGGAGGUCUUUUGCACCUUGCCGUUUGCCUCCCAGGUUCAACAUGAUAGGAUGUGGAUUAUCAGGGCCUGGGAACAGUGUAAAGGAACGCGCAGGUCCCCACCCUAAGCGCGUACGCGGGGCCUCGCUUUAGAAAAUAAAUGAAUUCUACCAAAAA
rnacentral:lncRNA from 1 species